rnacentral:rRNA from 1 species
GAGACCCACGCCCACAGUUGCCAGCGUACUCUCUGGAGUGACGGGUACACUGUGGGGACCGCCGCUGCUAAAGCGGAGGAAGGAAUGGGCAACGGUAGGUCAGUAUGCCCCGAAUAUCCCGGGCUACACGCGGGCUACAAUGGUUGGUACAAUGGGUAUCUACCCCGAAAGGGGAUGGAAAUCUCCUAAAACCAAUCGUAGUUCGGAUCGAGGGCUGCAACUCGCCCUCGUGAAGCUGGAAUCCGUAGUAAUCGCGUUUCAACAGAACGCGGUGAAUAC